GACGAACGCUGGCGGCGUGCCUAAUACAUGCAAGUCGAACGAGAGCAACCGGUGCUUGCACUGGUCAAUCUAGUGGCGCACGGGUGAGUAACACGUGGGUAACCUGCCCAUCAGAGGGGGAUAACAUCCGGAAACGGAUGCUAAAAUCGCAUAGGUCUUCGAACCGCAUGGUUUGAAGAGGAAAAGAGGCGCAAGCUUCUGCUGAUGGAUGGACCCGCGGUGCAUUAGCUAGUUGGUGAGGUAACGGCUCACCAAGGCCGUGAUGCAUAGCCGACCUGAGAGGGUGAUCGGCCACAUUGGGACUGAGACACGGCCCAAACUCCUACGGGAGGCAGCAGUAGGGAAUCUUCCGCAAUGGACGCAAGUCUGACGGAGCAACGCCGCGUGAGUGAAGAAGGUGUUCGGAUCGUAAAACUCUGUUGUUAGAGAAGAACAAGUGCUAGAGUAACUGUUAGCGCCUUGACGGUAUCUAACCAGAAAGCCACGGCUAACUACGUG
rnacentral:rRNA from 1 species